AGCCGGCGGACUCCUUCGGGAGGAAACCGGUGGACCGAGCGGCGGACGGGUGAGUAACACGUGGGCAACCUGCCGGACUGAUGGGAAUAACCCCGGGAAACCGGGGCUAAUGCCCAAUACGCCCUGACCUCGCCUGAGGUCAGCGGUAAAGCAGGGAUCUUCGGAUCCUUGCACAGUCCGAUGGGCCCGCGGCGCAUUAGCUAGUUGGAGAGGUAAGGGCUCCCCAAGGCGACGAUGCGUAGCCGACCUGAGAGGGUGAUCGGCCACACUGGGACUGAGACACGGCCCAGACUCCUACGGGAGGCAGCAGUAGGGAAUCAUCCGCAAUGGGCGAAAGCCUGACGGUGCAACGCCGCGUGAGUGAUGAAGGUUUUCGGAUCGUAAAGCUCUGUUGACAGGGAAGAACCCACGCCAGUCGAACAGGCUGGCGUGCUGACGGUACCUGUCCAGAAAGCCCCGGCUAACUACGUGCCAGCAGCCGCGGUAAUACGUAGGGGGCAAGCGUUGUCCGGAAUUAUUGGGCGUAAAGGGCACGCAGGCGGUUUCGUCAGUCCGAUGUGACAGGCCACGGCUCAACCGUGGAAGGCCAUUGGAAACUGCGAAACUUGAGGACAGAAGAGGAGAGUGGAAUUCCACGUGUAGCGGUGAAAUGCGUAGAUAUGUGGAGGAACACCAGUGGCGAAGGCGACUCUCUGGUCUGUACCUGACGCUGAGGUGCGAAAGCAUGGGGAGCAAACAGGAUUAGAUACCCUGGUAGUCCAUGCCGUAAACGCUGAGUGCUAGGUGUUAGGGGUUUCGAUACCCGUAGUGCCGAAGCUAACGCAUUAAGCACUCCGCCUGGGGAGUACGACCGCAAGGUUGAAACUCAAAGGAAUUGACGGGGGCCCGCACAAGCGGUGG
rnacentral:rRNA from 1 species